GCAUUAAUGGGGUAGUGGUAACCUGGGUCGUUGCCACUUGUGCGCAGUUCGACCCGCCGGGGGUUCGAUUCCCCCUUAAUGCA
rnacentral:tRNA from 1 species